GCCUGCUUGGCUCAGUUGCUAAGAGCACCAGAUCUUAACUAAGUCGCCUGGAUGGAUGUAGGUUCGAGUCCUGCAGCAGGUA